rnacentral:tRNA from 1 species
AGCUAUUAAUUUCAAUUGGAUUUUUUAUUGGGAUUAAAAAAGUUUUUGGCUAA